AAUUUUGAACAAUGGACGCAAGUCUGAUCCAGCCAUUCCGCGUGCAGAGACGAAGGCCUUCGGGUUGUAGACUGCUUUUGUACGGAACCGAAGAAGCUCUUACUAAUACUAGGAGUCCAUGCCGGUACCGUAAGAAUAAGCUCCGGCUAACUACGUGCCAGCAGCCACGGUAAUACGUAGGGUGCAAGCGUUAAUCGGAAUUACUGGGCGUAAAGCGUGCGCAGGCGGUUAUAUAAGACAGAUGUGAAAUCCCCGGGCUCAACCUGGGAACUGCAUUUGUGACUGUAUAGCUAGAGUGCGGCAGAGGGGGAGGAUUC
rnacentral:rRNA from 1 species